rnacentral:rRNA from 1 species
UACAGAGGUCUCAAGCGUUGUUCGGAUUCAUUGGGCGUAAAGGGUGCGUAGGCGGCGCGGUAAGUCGGGUGUGAAAUCUCGGAGCUUAACUCCGAAACUGCAUUCGAUACUGCCGUGCUUGAGGACUGGAGAGGAGACUGGAAUUUACGGUGUAGCGGUGAAAUGCGUAGAUAUCGUAAGGAAGACCAGUGGCGAAGGCGGCUCACUGGACCGGUACUGACGCUGAAGCGCGAAAGCGUGGGGAGCAAACGGG